UACGUAGGCAGCAAGCGUUGUUCGGAGUUACUGGGCGUAAAGGGUGCGUAGGUGGCUCUAUAAGUAUGGUGUGAAAUCUCCCGGCUUAACUGGGAGGGUGCGCCGUAGACUGUGGGGCUAGAGUGUGGGAGAGGAAAGUGGAAUUCCUGGUGUAGCGGUGGAAUGCGUAGAUAUCAGGAGGAACACCGGUGGUGUAAACGGCUUUCUGGACCAUAACUGACACUGAGGCACGAAAGCGUGGGUAGCAAACAGG
rnacentral:rRNA from 1 species